rnacentral:tRNA from 1 species
GUCCGUGUGGCCUAAUGAUAAGGCAUUUCCCUCCGGAGGAAAAGAUUGCGGGUUCAAGUCCCGCCUCGGACU